rnacentral:tRNA from 1 species
GCCUGGGUGGCUUGGUCGGUUAAGCGUCUGACUUCGGCUCAGGUCAUGAUCUCACAGUCCGUGAGUUCGAGCCCCGCGUCGGGCU